rnacentral:piRNA from 1 species
UGACCAAUUCAGGGUGCUUUGAGGCCAGAGU